CCUGGUGCUCAAAUAGCAGCUGCGUAUACUGGUCCCGCUGCUCCUGUCCUCGCUGCAGGACGGCCCGGUUAGCGUUGUCCAUGUCCCUCAGCGCGUCAAACAAUCUAUAAUGACUCAUUCCUGCCCCAAGUGGGAUGAAGGGAGAUUUUCCUGCUGGUUGAACGUCUUGGUCCUCGGCUGUAACAACAUCUGUGAAGCAGAAGGAUCUGAAGAAUGGGCUGUAGGUAGCGGAGACUGGAUGAGCUGGCACUUCCAAUGGCAUGGCUACAAAGACUCAGUCAUAGACUGCAGAAGAACUUCUGGAAGUCUUUGCUUGUACCCUCUGUGUAAAGCUCAUAGCUGUCCUUCAGCUCUUCUGGGGAUAGGUUGAUUACAAUGAGGAUCAGGAGCAAGUGAUGCAUCCUCAAGAUUUACACUUAAUGUAACUAAUGUUCUUAUGAAUGUUAUGAAUAUAUUAUGUGAGCAACAUUCCUAGAUCUGUGACCCUCUGUGUCAUUGUAAAAGAUGGAGCUUUUAGAACAAUAACCUGUGUAUGUAUUAGAUUUAAAAAUGUCGGCAAGGUCUAGAAUUAGUAGUGUAUGUGAUGUACAGUAAAGAAAUGGGUAUUCAUUGUGAUCCACAGCUGUCUGGUUGGUCAUACAUCAAGAUAAAAAGAAAAUAAGUUUGUGUUUAUGGGGUGAAGUCAGAUGUGAAGUUUCGGCCACACCACUUUUAGAUAUGUGAUCCCACCUCUGGAUGUAAUAGUAGACAUGCAUCUGCCUGGGUAUAGACAUUGUGAUGAAGCUGCAAAAAAGGGAAAAAAUGCUGAAACAAACUGCAAGAUCAUUUGAGUAUAAAUCAUAGGAAUUAUAUUAAAAUUGCAAUCCUUAAUUUUUUCAUAUUAAAAAAAUGCUAUAUGCGA